UUCGAUUCCGUAAGUAGCGGCGAGCGAACGCGGAACAGGCCAAACCAAUGAAGUUUACUUCGUUGGGGUUGCGGACAUACAACAUGGAUGCAAUAUCGUAAAUGAAGAGAGUUGGAAAGCUCCGCCAUAGAAGGUAAUAGCCCUGUAGUUGAAACGAGAAAGCUACUAGUAUGAUCCAGAGUACCACGGGACACGUGAAACCCUGUGGGAAGCAGGAGGGACCAUCCUCCAAGCCUAAAUACUACCUAGUGACCGAUAGCGCAUAGUACCGUGAGGGAAAGGUGAAAAGAACCCCGGGAGGGGAGUGAAAUAGAACCUGAAACCCUGCACUUACAAGCUGUGGGAGCACAUUACUUGUGUGACCGCGUACUUUUUGUAGAACGGGCCAACGAGUUACGUUAAGUAGCAAGGUUAAGCACUUAAGGUGUGGAGCCGUAGCGAAAGCGAGUCUUAAAUGGGCGAUUAAGUUACUUGGCGUAGACCCGAAACCGGGCGACCUAUCCAUGAGCAGGUUGAAGCGAAAGUAAAAUUUCGUGGAGGACCGAACCCACGAGCGUUGAAAAGCUCGGGGAUGACUUGUGGAUAGCGGUGAAAUUCCAAUCGAGCCCGGAGAUAGCUGGUUCUCCCCGAAAUAGCUUUAGGGCUAGCCUCAAGCGUAGAGAAACGGAGGUAGAGCACUGAAUGUCCUAGGGGGUAUUGCACUUACCGAAGACUAUCAAACUCCGAAUGCCGUUUUCUUUUACUUGGGAGUCAGACUGUGGGUGAUAAGAUUCAUAGUCAAAAGGGCAACAGCCCAGAUCGUCAGCUAAGGUCCCUAAAUGUACGUUAAGUGGUAAAGGAUGUGGGAUUGCACAGACAACCAGGAUGUUGGCUUAGAAGCAGCCACACAUUCAAAGAGUGCGUAAUAGCUCACUGGUCGAGUGAUCCUGCGCCGAAAAUUUCCGGGGCUAAAACGUACUACCGAAGCUACGGCAUCAUUUAUGAUGGGUAGGGGAGCUUCGUAUGCAGGCUGAAGCAUGACCGUAAGGACAUGUGGACAGUAUACGAGUGAGAAUGUUGGCAUGAGUAGCGAGACGUGGGUGAGAAUCCCACGGGCCGUAAACCCAAGGUUUCCAGGGGAAGGUUCGUCCGCCCUGGGUUAGUCGGGACCUAAGCCGAGGCCGAAAGGCGUAGGUGAUGGACAACAGGUUGAUAUUCCUGUACCGCCAAUAAGCGUUUGAGAGAUGGAGUGACACAGUAGGAUAAGCUAACCGUACUGUUGGUUAUGUACGGCUAAGCAUUGAGGCAGUCUAAAUAGGCAAAUCCGUUUAGACAAUGCUAGGAUGUGAUGGGGAAGCCCUUCGGGGCGAAGUAGCUGAUUUCACACUGUCAAGAAAAGCUUCUAUCGAGUUUAAAGGCGCCCGUACCGUAAACCGACACAGGUGGGUGAGGAGAGUAUCCUAAGGCCAGCGAGAGAACUAUUGUUAAGGAACUCGGCAAAAUGACCCCGUAACUUAGGGAGAAGGGGUGCCUGUCUAUGACAGGCCGCAGAGAAUAGGCCCAAGCGACUGUUUACCAAAAACACAGGUUUCUGCUAAGUCGCAAGACGAUGUAUAGGAGCUGACGCCUGCCCGGUGCUGGAAGGUUAAGGGGAUCUGUUAGAGCAAUCGAAGCAGUGAACUUAAGCCCCAGUAAACGGCGGCCGUAACUAUAACGGUCCUAAGGUAGCGAAAUUCCUUGUCGGGUAAGUUCCGACCCGCACGAAAGGCGUAACGAUUUGGGCACUGUCUCAACAAUAGACUCGGUGAAAUUGUAAUCCCGGUGAAGAUGCCGGGUACCUGCGACAGGACGGAAAGACCCCAUGGAGCUUUACUGUAGCUUGACGUUGGGUCUUGGUACUACAUGUACAGGAUAGGUGGGAGACUAUGAAGCAUGGACGCCAGUCUGUGUGGAGUCAUCCUUGGGAUACCACCCUUGUAGUACUGGGAUCCUAACCAUAGGCCUUGAAUCAGGUCUUGGAACACCGUCAGGUGGGCAGUUUGACUGGGGCGGUCGCCUCCGAAAAAGUAACGGAGGCGCUCAAAGGUUUCCUCAGCACGGUCGGAAAUCGUGCGAAGAGUGUAAAGGCAAAAGGAAGCUUGAUUGCAAGACAUACAGGUCGAGCAAGGACGAAAGUCGGACUUAGUGAUCCGGUGGUACCGCAUGGAAGGGCCAUCGCUCAAC
rnacentral:rRNA from 1 species